AGCGAACGCUGGCGGCAGGCUUAACACAUGCAAGUCGAGCGGGCACUUUCGGGUGUCAGCGGCGGACGGGUGAGUAACGCGUGGGAACGUGCCCUCUGGUUCGGAAUAACUCAGGGAAACUUGAGCUAAUACCGGAUACGCCCUUUUGGGGAAAGGCUUGCUGCGGGAGGAUCGGGCGGCGUCUGAUUAGCUAGUUGGUGAGGUAACGGCGCACCAAGGCGACGAUCAGUAGCUGGUCUGUGAGGAUGAUCAGCCACACUGGGACUGAGACACGGCCGAGACUCCUACGGGAGGGAGCAGUGGGGAAUAUUGGAAAAUGGGCGCAAGCCUGAUCCAGCCAUGCCGCGUGAGUGAUGAAGGCCUUAGGGUUGUAAAGCUCUUUUAUCCGGGACGAUAAUGACGGUACCGGAGGAAUAAGCCCCGGCUAACUUCGUG
rnacentral:rRNA from 1 species